rnacentral:rRNA from 1 species
AACGAACGCUGGCGGCGUGCCUAACACAUGCAAGUCGAGCGGGAACGUCUCCUUCGGGGGGCAAGUACAGCGGCGAACGGGUGAGUAACACGUAGGUAACCUACCCUGGUGUCUGGGAUAACCUGUCGAAAGGUGGGCUAAUACCAGAUAAGACCACGAGGACUUUGGUCCUUGAGGUAAAAGAUGGCCUCUGCUUGCAUGCUAUCACUCCGGGAGGGGCCUGCGCGCCAUUAGCUAGUUGGUGGGGUAACGGCUCACCAAGGCUGAGAUGGCUAGCUGGUCUGAGAGGAUGAUCAGCCACACUGGGACUGAGACACGGCCCAGACUCCUACGGGAGGCAGCAGUGGGGAAUAUUGCGCAAUGGGCGAAAGCCUGACGCAGCGACGCCGUGUGGGUGAUGAAGGCCUUCGGGUCGUAAAGCCCUGUCGGGAGGGACGAAAUCUUGUCGGUCUAAUACGCCGGCGACUUGACGGUACCUCUAAAGGAAGCACCGGCUAACUCCGUGCCAGCAGCCGCGGUAAUACGGAGGGUGCAAGCGUUGUUCGGAAUUACUGGGCGUAAAGCGCGUGUAGGCGGCUUUCUAAGUCUGGUGUGAAAGCCCGGGGCUCACCCCCGGAAGUGCAUUGGAUACUGGAAGGCUAGAGUACCGGAGAGGAAGGUAGAAUUCCUGGUGUAGCGGUGAAAUGCGUAGAUAUCAGGAGGAAUACCGGUGGCGAAGGCGACCUUCUGGACGGAUACUGACGCUGAGACGCGAAA